rfam:Canis lupus familiaris chromosome 2, whole genome shotgun sequence.
AGGAGCAACAGCCCUAGUGGCGGGGCCAGCUCUGGAUCCCUGGAUUCAGCCCCCGCAGGAACUCCGGAGCUCUCCGUCUGCAGGGCCUGGAGGCUCCGGGCGGGG